UCCGAGUUGACCCCGGCAGUCUCCCAUGAGUCCCCGGCAUAACCCGCUGGCAACAUAGGACAAGGGUUGCGCUCGUUGCGGGACUUAACCCAACAUCCCACGACACGAGCUGACGACAGCCAUGCACCACCUGUCACGGGCCCUUACGGACACUAUAUUUCUACAGCUUUUCCCGUGAUGUCAAACCCAGGUAAGGUUCUUCAGGUUGCAUCGAAUUAAGCCGCAUGCUCCGCCGCUUGUGCGGGGACCCGUCAAUUCCUUUGAGUUUCAACCUUGCGGUCGUACUCCCCAGGUGGAUUACUUAACGCUCUCGCUUUGCCGCUGACUGUGUAUCGCCAACAGCUAGUAAUCAUCGUUUACUGCGUGGACUAC
rnacentral:misc_RNA from 1 species